UACGGAGGGUGCAAGCGUUAUCCGGAUUCACUGGGUUUAAAGGGUGCGUAGGUGGGCAGGUAAGUCAGUGGGGAAAUCUCCGGGCUUAACCCGGAAACUGCCGUUGAUACUAUCUGUCUUGAAUAUAGUGGAGGUGAGCGGAAUAUGUCAUGUAGCGGUGAAAUGCUUAGAUAUGACAUAGAACAUCGAUUGCGAAGGCAGCUCGCUACGCUAUUAUUGACACUGAGGCACGAAAGCGUGGGGAUCAAACAGG
rnacentral:rRNA from 1 species